rnacentral:rRNA from 1 species
UGCGUAGGUGGCGCCGUAAGUCGGGUGUGAAAUUUCGGAGCUUAACUCCGAAACUGCAUUCGAUACUGCGGUGCUUGAGGACUGGAGAGGAGACUGGAAUUCAUGGUGUAGCAGUGAAAUGCGUAGAGAUCAUGAGGAAGACCAGUGGCGAAGGCGGGUCUCUGGACAGUUCCUGACACUGAGGACAAGGCCAGGGGAGCGAAACG